UUGGCAGUGUUUCUGCAAAUACAAUUCUCUCAAAGAUCCUCUAGAUCUUCUGUGAAUCUUACUAGACUUCACUUCAUUAGACAAACACCUCACUCACUCAUGAAUCUCUGGAGAAGAAGCCCUUCUCUACCUGGUCUUCUGAGAAGAUGAAGGGACAAUACCCUGAAGCUUCUUAGAAGCCUUCUGCUGUGUUGGACAGAUCUUCCAGGCACCACCUUGGAUCCUUCUAGGAAGCUACUUGGAUCUUUCUAGGAUUUUACAACCACACCCUCAAUUUCAUCUUUAGAACUUGUUUUCCUGCCAAUGCUCUGAAUUUGAUCUAUGUCUGAAAACUAUUUCUCAAUUCCAGCAACAUUUACUGACUUAAAGAGUCUGAUGUCAAUACCAUCAAUUCCUGUGUCCUUCCUGUUUAUCAGUCUAUUCUAUGUCCACUUAGAAGACUGAACCAGUUAGAUCCAUUUCUGCAAAAGUUUCCUGAGUGUACAAGAUCAAGGACUGUUUUGAGUAUUAUCCAGAAAUUCUCCCCAUCAAUCAACCAAAUAUACUUCUCAUGAUUAUUUAGGCCUGCAAUUCCCAGAAAAGGCCUGUGUCUACUUUACGCAAAAAAUUUUCAAUAGAGAGACUGUUAACCCCUUUGAACCUGAGGACAUGAUGAUAUAGAUCAAUUUAACCUGAGGCCAAGAGACCUGGUGAUUCCAAUUUCUUUCCUAUUUGUGAUGCAUCACCCAAGCCACUGCCUCUUGCCCUGGAAUUGACAGUGUUAAAAUUCUUAGCAGUUAAGUGUCAGCAAUCAAGAGGUUGUAGAUAACCUCUGAAGCAGAGAAAUUCAACUGAGUCCAUAUCUUAAAAUAAUGGUUUGCAGACACUGGACCCAACUAGCCACAUCAAACAUGAGAGGGGAGCUAUGCAGUCAUCCCCCAGGUAAGGCUGAUGAUAUACAACUGCAUUACUAGCACCUACAACUGAAUGCCAAGUCCACAGAACAGAAGCACUGGCCUCACCUGGGAGCUAUUAGAAAUGUACAAUCUUGAGCUCCAUCUCAGACCUACUACAUCAUGGAAGGCACAGGAAGGAGAUCCCCCAAUGACACAAGGCUUUGGAAACAACAAUGUUUUUGGCAAACAAAUUUUUGAAGAACACCUACAUUCCUUGGCUCAAGGUUCCAUUCCUCCACCUUCAAAACAAGUUGCCUCAGGCCAAGUCUUUCUCACACUGCUGUCUACCUGGAUCUCUUUCUUCUGAAGCUCACCUCCUCUUAUAAGGAUGUCUCAGAUGACAGUGAGCCCACUCGGAUCAUGCAGGACACUCUCCUCAUCUGAAGGUCCGUGGAUUAGCAACCUUACUCCCUCCCAUCUGUGACCUAAUUCUCCCUCACCUAGUAAGAUAAUCAUGAUGUUUGUGGUUUAUAAUGCAGACAUCUUUGAAGGUCAUUGUUCUACCACCACAAAUAAAUGCCUCCUUAGAGACA